UACGGAGGAUCCAAGCGUUAUCCGGAAUUACUGGGCGUAAAGAGUUGCGUAGGUGGCAUUGUAAGUUGGUAGUGAAAGCGUUCGGCUCAACCGGAUAAACAUUACCAAAACUGCAAAGCUAGAGGACGAGAGAGGUUAUUGGAAUUCCCAGUGUAGGAGUGAAAUCCGUAGAUAUUGGGAGGAACACCGAUGGCGUAGGCAGAUAACUGGCUCGUUCCUGACACUAAGGCACGAAAGCGUGGGGAGCAAACGGG
rnacentral:rRNA from 1 species